GAGUGUCACAGAGCUAUAAGAUAGAUGUUUCUCGAGCUCAUUUGCUAAGCAUCUAGUUUACAAUAUAUUGCUUAUGAUAAUUACAAAACUGAGAGAUAAAAACUGAUUCCUGGAAGUCUAAAUGAUGACUUGGGGAGAGUUGAUUACUUGUAAACGGAUGCAUGAUGCUUAUGUACCUGAUCAGCAAGGAGAGUAACAUUGGAACCAGCAGCUAAAGCCACAACUCUAAAUUUGUCAGGAUUCUCAGCCACAAUGUCCAAUGUCUGCAUAUAAACAAAAAAAAACAAGAGUCUGUAAGUUCUUAUCCAUGAGAAUGAUUCAAAAAAACAACUAAUUCACUAAAAUGAUAAAUAAAACAAAGAACCUGAGUGCCAAUGGAACCAGUAGACCCAACGAUGGAGAUGGGUUUAGGCCCAUCCCAAGAUUGACGAGGCAACUCAGGAACAGCUCUCCCAGGCCAUGCUGGAGGAGGAGGUUGCUGCACUGAACACUUGACUCCUUUUCCAAAACCUCUCCGUUGAUUCCUCUUCCUCAAACUAAACCCACCUGUGACAACUCCCAAAGAUGUAAACUUUCAUCCUCCCACAACUUAACUUAACCCAAAAGUGUCAAACUUUCAGAGCUAAAUCUCACAACUAGUGUUUAAAAUCGAAAAUUUUUACAGAGAAUUUGAGUUAAC